CAACCACAUCAUGUUGAAACACCGGUUUCCGUACGAUCACCGACGUUAAGCAACGUCGAGCCUGGUCAAGACUUCGAUGGGUGACCGCUUACGAAUAUCAGAUGCUGUAAG